GACCACCAAAGUGUCAACAGCUACAUCUUCUUACACUGACUGUAUAAAAAGAGGAAGCAAAAUAAACCUUCCUCAUAUAUACUUUAGCUCAGGUCCUAUACUAGUCUAUAUUGUGAAUGGGGAGACAUGG
rnacentral:snoRNA from 1 species